rnacentral:rRNA from 1 species
UACGUAGGGUGCGAGCGUUGUCCGGAAUUAUUGGGCGUAAAGGGCUCGUAGGCGGUUUGUCGCGUCGGGAGUGAAAACACCGGGCUUAACUCGGUGCUUGCUUUCGAUACGGGCAGACUAGAGGCAUGCAGGGGAGAACGGAAUUCCUGGUGUAGCGGUGAAAUGCGCAGAUAUCAGGAGGAACACCGGUGGCGAAGGCGGUUCUCUGGGACGGUACUGACGCUGAGACGCGAAAGCGUGGGGAGCGAACAGG